rnacentral:misc_RNA from 1 species
CUAUCUAAACUCGCCUGCGUUUUUACGAACACUGGCGGAAAUUGAGCGUCACACUUUUCUCGAAGUGUGUUGCUUGAAAGGUAGAAGCGGUAGUUCCCUUCUUUUUCUCUCGAGAAAAAACUCAUUGAUUCUUCUUGGGGCUUGCCCCAAGCUGAAGCAAACUGAGUGACGUGGUUAAGUUCGCCUCGUGCGACACCGCUACGUCAACCAUCUCAGUGCGCUGCAGUUGGAUCAACCGAGUGCGGAACACUAUUACCGUUCUUUGGAUUAUUUACUCCAAACAACAAA